GUCCACGCCGUAAACGAUGGGCACUAGGUCCUUGGGGGAGCGACCCCUUGAGGGCCGGCGCUAACGCAUUAAGUGCCCCGCCUGGGGAGUACGGCCGUAAGGCUGAAACUCAAAGGAAUUGACGGGGGCCCGCACAAGCGGUGGAGCAUGUGGUUUAAUUCGACGCAACGCGAAGAACCUUACCUGGGCUUGACAUGCACGGGAACUCGUGGGGAAACCCGCGGGGCUCUUCGGAGCUCGUGCACAGGUGCUGCAUGGCUGUCGU
rnacentral:rRNA from 1 species